rnacentral:rRNA from 1 species
UACGUAGGGGGCGAGCGUUGUCCGGAUUUAUUGGGCGUAAAGAGCUCGUAGGCGGUUCGGCAAGUCAGAUGUAAAAACUCCAGGCUCAACUUGGAGAGGCCAUCUGAUACUGCCGUGACUAGAGUCCGGUAGAGGAGCACGGAAUUCCUGGUGUAGCGGUGAAAUGCGCAGAUAUCAGGAGGAACACCAGCGGCGAAGGCGGUGCUCUGGGCCGGAACUGACGCUGAGGAGCGGAAGCGUGGGGAGCGAACAGG